AUGAUUAGAGCUUUCCAAAAUAACGCAAUCGACGCGGAGAUUGUUGGUGGACAUGCUGGAAAGAGAGUGUUCAUCCCUAGGAUCCCGAUGGCACCCUCGGAGGAUAUUUCACUUCCUUUCAAAUUGAAGAGGAAGCAAUUCCCUAUUCGUCUGAGUUUUGCAAUGACCAUAAACAAAGCCCAGGGGCAAACCAUCCCAACUGUUGGCAUUUACCUUCCGGAGCCUGUAUUCUCUCACGGUCAGCUUUAUGUUGCACUGUCAAGGGGUGUUUCAAGGCAGACAACUCGGGUUCUGGCAAAGCCAAAUAAAGAAAUAGAUCAAACUGGUAAAAGCACCAAAAACAUUGUGUAUAGAGAUGUCUUGAAGGGAUGA
rnacentral:rRNA from 1 species